rnacentral:rRNA from 1 species
GAUGAACGCUGGCGGCGUGCCUAAUACAUGCAAGUCGAGCGAACAGACGAGGAGCUUGCUCCUCUGACGUUAGCGGCGGACGGGUGAGUAACACGUGGAUAACCUACCUAUAAGACUGGGAUAACUUCGGGAAGCCGGAGCUAAUACCGGAUAAUAUAUUGAACCGCAUGGUUCAAUAGUGAAAGACGGUUUUGCUGUCACUUAUAGAUGGAUCCGCGCCGCAUUAGCUAGUUGGUAAGGUAACGGCUUACCAAGGCAACGAUGCGUAGCCGACCUGAGAGGGUGAUCGGCCACACUGGAACUGAGACACGGUCCAGACUCCUACGGGAGGCAGCAGUAGGGAAUCUUCCGCAAUGGGCGAAAGCCUGACGGAGCAACGCCGCGUGAGUGAUGAAGGUCUUCGGAUCGUAAAACUCUGUUAUUAGGGAAGAACAAAUGUGUAAGUAACUAUGCACGUCUUGACGGUACCUAAUCAGAAAGCCACGGCUAACUACGU